AAAACCCAAGCAAAAGUCCAGAUUAAACGGCCCCAAAACAAAAGGCAAUAACAACAAUGCCAAAUCCUAAUUUUGAUUUGUCAUCUAAACCUUCCAGAAAGAAACCAAAAAGCUGAAGGGACGCCACUGAUGUCGACGGAUAAGAAAAUCUUCUCCGGCAACCGUUAAGAGAUCGUCGAACCACUAGCUACCACAUUCAAGAGGUUGAUUAACGAACGAGAACCUGCACUCUAACAGAGACGACCAAACUCUUCCCCAACCCCGCGGAUCCCACAAACCUUUGGGCUCCUCCUACCUCCAAUCCCUACCCUCAAAUUAGAUCCCUGUAAAAAGACACUUCAUCUCCCACACUCAUCCGGUCGGAAGGCGCAACUAUCAUUAUCCAAUACCGUCGAAUCAAAGAGAGGCGCCCCUCCCUCCUGGUAAGCAUGACCCCCUCCCCGGAGACCCGCAGCUGCCAACAGAUGGGCCACCUGAUUCGUAGCUCGGGGAACAUGCACCAAUCAACACCAGCGAAACUACAAAGCCAUUGCAUUGAUAUCUCUGAUGUAACGCCCAAGGGCCGACGUAUCAUGAUAAGGAGAUAGGAUCUUGCAGAUCACCGUGAGAGAAUUACCUUCAAAAAUAGCCUCAUGCAACCCCAGCCCCAGAACAAGUCAAAUCGCAUGAUAGCAAGCCAGGGCCUCUGCAGCAAAAGACGAAGGUACGUGCGUACUGACCAAUGAUUGUGAACCCAUCACCAUGCCCAAGUGAUCCCUAGUGACAAUACCCGCACAGGAAAGUCUUUGUAGGUGCAUGGAAAACAGUAUCAAAGUUCACUUUUACACAUGUUAGAUUUGGAGGCCGCCACCGCUCAACACCGAUCAGGCAACCAGGGACUCCCAAAUAUCCAAAAUCGAAGGGCAAUUGUGAAAAAUAUGUUCCAGAGUCUCGGCAGAGACAAGGCAUCGAGAGCACAUAGUGGAUAUAGUAGCUAAGAAUAAAAUUGUUGAAAACUCACCAUACUUUAGUUUUGAUUUUUGCCGGAAGUUACAAUUCCAUAAUUUGUUGUAAAAUAGAUUAUAAGAGUCCGUUAUCUCAAAAUAGUCCGAAGAAUAAGGAGUCUAAAAUCACCACGGACAGAGAAUUCUCUUGAAGGCUCAUCCCCCCAAACCAAGAAGUCUUCAUGGGCAUCCUGAGCAAUGGGAAUACAUAACACCUUAUUUGCAAUGGCUUGGCCACAACACUGGCAACCUCGGAAUCCAAACAUCAUCGCAAAUCCAUAUAUUGGAUACUGUACCCAAUCACCAACAAAGGCCCAUAUGCAACAACCCCUUCGUAGACCAGAUACUCUUCCAAAGGUAAGAAAGGUAAGCUCCCAAACUAGCAUGCAUAAAAUCACAACGUAGGUAAUAUUUUGCUUUUAGGGCACGAGCUAACAAAGAAAAUGGGUUUUUAAUCAAACGCCAACCUUGCUUUGCCAACAGAGCAAUUUUAACUUUGCCAAAUCUUAAAAUCCCAAGCCACUAUUGGGCUUCAAAGCACAUAGUUUAGUCCAAGCACACCAAUGCAUACCCCCUUGACCCCCAUUUCGUUUUUACCAAAAUUGACUAAUUAUAUUUUUCCAAAUCAAUGCAAAAAGAUGCAAGUAAUAUAAAAACAUGAUAUAGUAAAUGUAGGGAUAGCUUGUAAGACGCUUUUGAUAAAAACUUUCUUCCCACCUUUAGACAAUGGC